AAGGGUUGAGUUGCCAAACAUCAGCCUCGAAACCUUAAUGACUUGGAGAAGAUCUGCAAAGAGGAGUGGGACAAAAUCCCUCCUGAGAUGUGUGCAAACCUGGGGCCUGUUGCACAAAAGUAGAAUUAAGACAUCCGGGAUAAAUGACUCAGCUGAGCUCAAUGAAGCCAAAACAUGUGCGUCCAGGCUUAAUUGGUUGCACAAAGACCAAGCCAGGAUGAGCAGACACGGAUUCAUUAAGCCAGGUGAAACCAAUCCUGGAUAGGUGCGCGCUCACGGCUCACUCAAAUAGACCCCGCCACAGAUCACAGAUUAACUGAUUUACCAUGGCAACUAGAGCCGCGUACUUUUCCCCGUCGGAAGCACAAAUCCUCAUGGAGGCAUACGAGGAGGUAAAAGAUAUAAUUAAGAAGAAAGGCAACACCGCCACAGUGAUAAAGCAAAGAGAAAAAGCGUGGCAAAGUAUUGCAGACCGCCUGAAUGCGUAAGUAGUGCACAAUUACACACUCACCGCUCCGCUGAAUCACAAUUACAAUUCAAAUAUUUAAUUCACAUCUCCAAAAAUGCAGUUGUACUGUAAUUAUGAAACGGUAAAAUUUUUAAUUGAAAUGCACUGCAGAUAUGAGUGAAAUUGUGUAAAGUAACUCCAUCACACUGUAUAAAGCUAUGAUACAUUUUUUGAUAUUUUUACUGAAAACAAGACAAAAAUACCAAGUAAUUUUUUGCAGUGUGACUCCAUUAUGUGUGUGUGUGUGUGUGUGUGUGUGUGUGUGUGUGUGUGUGUGUGUGUGUGUGUGUGUGUGUGUGUGUGUGUGUGUGUGUGUGUGUAGAUUAAACAUGAACGGGCCAAAACGGACAUGGCAGCAGGUCAAAAUCAAAUACAAGAACAUUCUGCAGAAUGCAGUGAAAAAGAAUACCCACAGACAAGGCACGGGUGGUGGGUCACCAAAGGCUGACCUUACCCCAGCAGAGGACAUGGCCUUGGAGCUAAAUAAAGGCAGGCCCGUCUUAGAGGGGAUCCCUGGGGGGAAAGAGACGAGCAUAGGUUCCUCCCAAGAUGCCACCCGCUUCAUUCAAGUGCCUGGCAGCACUGUGUUCCUGUUAGAGCCACCAGCACAAGCACCAGACGAUGCUGAUCCUGUACUCCAUCAAAGGCAUACUGUAGGCCUGGCAUGUCUUGUCUACUAGCUUCAAUAUGAAUCCGAUUAAAUGUGAUAGGGUGAAGGCCCCAGUGCAGCAGCAACAGCACAUGAUGGAGACGAUGAUGAGGAGGAGACCAUCUCUCUGGAUUCCAGAAGGCAUGAGGUAUCAUGUUAAGACUGUGAAAGUACUAUUUACUCUACAAUGGUGAGGAGUCCUCAUCAAAAUCAAAAAAUCUAUUUUCUUUUACAGGACCCAGAUGCUAUACAGUGGGAAAACCAGCCUGGCAACAUAGUGCGUAUUAAUAAAAGGACACCACAUCCUGCCAAAUUCCAGCUGCGCUAAUUGUAUUGUGUUCACAGAGCUCACAAGCUAUCAGAAAGUUGUAUGGCAACCACCUCCGGCGCCAAAUAGAACUGGCAGACAUAGACAUUCAGUACAAGAAGAAAAAGAUGGAAAAUCUUGCACUGGAGUCCGAAAUAAAAAGAGGACAAUUAGGAAACUGGACCUUGAAAUAAAAAAAAACUUGAGAGGGAGCUCCAAGAAGAUGACACAGCUCAAAAUAAAAAUUAGGUAUAUUCUCGUAAAGUCAAGUGAGCCAUGACAUAUGAGCUCUUAUUGUGAGCACACAGGACGGUGGCAUCUUUCUAAGGUUUUUUUUAUUUUCCCAGCAAUCAGUACAACCAAGUCAUCGUUAUAAGGCAUCGCCCUCUUUUGCCCACCCCCCCAGCACCAGGUGUGGCCACUAGCCUAUAUGAAGGCCCAAAAUUGUGUGUUCCUUUCUGCUCUGACAAUGGCAUGCCCAUUCGUGCAAGAUGUGGUGGAUGAAGAAGCACUUGUGCUGAGGAGAGCCUUCAGGCGAGAAAGGGUCUUCAGGGACCGGUUGGACCCACUGGCCUUCCCUGAUGACCAUCUAUAUGAAAGAUACAGGUUUUCUGCAGAUGGCAUCAGGUAUCUAUGCAGACUACUGGGUCCCAGGAUUAAGCACCGCACUGCACGGAGCCAUGCACUGAGUGUGGAGCAAAUGGUUUGUGUGGCCUUGCGCUUUUUUGCUAGUGGAGCCUUCCUGUACUCAGUGGGGAUGCAGAACAGCUGAACAAGGCCACAAUUUGCCGCACAAUAAGGAGUGUGUGUCUGGCUAUCAAAGCAUUAGCAGAUGUCUUCAUCUCCUUCCCUGGCCACAGAAGACUCUGUGACAUCAAAGAGGAGUUCUAUAGGAUUGCAGGUAAGAGGAUCUACAAAUUACAGGACAACUGUUAACACAUAGUAGGAUACUCAUUACUUUGUGUGACAGGUUUCCCCAAUGUCAUUGGUGCAGUGGACUGCACACACAUAAGGAUAAAAGCCCCCUCAGGUGCCCAUGAGGCCGCUUUUGUGAAUAGGAAAUCCUUUCACAGCAUUAAUGUUCAGGUGAACAUAACUUUUUGAUAUUGUCCAUUGACGAACACUCUGCAUUGCCAGUGAUGUGCAUUGAUUGGUGUAAUAUUCCUCAUCUUAUGAUUUCAGAUGGUCUGCAAUGCUGACUGUGUGAUCAGCAAUGUUGUGGCAAAAUGGCCUGGCUCAGUCCAUGACUCCAGAAUCUUUCGGGCCUCUGAAAUCUAUCAGUGCCUAUCACAAGGUGAAUUCUCUGGUGUGUUGCUGGGAGACAGGGGGUAUGGCUGCCAGCCUUUUCUCCUGACACCUUUCACAGACCCCAGGAAGCACAGCAGGCCUACAACCAUGCCCAUGCCAGGACCAGGGCCAGAGUUGAAAUGACCUUUGGCCUCCUGAAGGCACGCUUUCACUGCCUUCACAAAUUAAGGGUCAGCCCUGUUAGGGCAUGUGAUAUUACUGUGGCUUGUGCUGUCCUCCACAAUGUGGCCUGCCUGAGGAAGGAGAGGGCCCCCAGAGUGCCACCAGCCAUGGACUGGGACAAUCCGGCAAUCUUCCCUGAUGACGACAGUGGUCGGCUGCUGAGGGACCAAUAUGUGUUGAAUUAUUUUAGUUAGUAUGUGUGCUUUCAAUUUUGGUUAAAUAUGUCCUGCGGUGGCAGACGGAAUUUGUUUUUUUUUUUGGGUUCGUUUUUUGACGAAUUUGGCCUCUUAUGAUGUUUGUGCGGUAUACUGUGUGUAAUACAAGGCUGCAGGGAGGCUACUGCAUCCAUUCAUUUGUCUGUUCAGUUGAUGUGUAUGGAUUUGUCCUGCAUUUAUUUUAGUGUGCAGACAUGCAGGGUGUGUUAUAUACAGACCUUUGAAUGUGUAUGUAUCAUUUUGUAUAAUAUGCUUGGAUUCUGUGCUUUCCAUCUUGUAGAGUCACUGUGACUUCAGUUUCGAAAGGAGCUGAUGGUUUACCUGCUUUGUUUUGUCCUUAUUCA